AAUGAACGCUGGCGGCGUGCCUAACACAUGCAAGUCGAGCGAGAAAGUGGCUUCGGCCAUGAGUACAGCGGCGAACGGGUGAGUAACACGUGGAUAACCUGCCUAGGAGUGGGGGAUAACUCGGGGAAACCUGAGCUAAUACCGCAUACGCCUUCCGGAUCGAGAUCCGGAUUGGAAAGGUUGCCUCUUCUUCGAAAGCUAUCGCUCCUAGAGGGGUCCGCGCCUGAUUAGCUAGUUGGUGAGGUAACGGCUCACCAAGGCGACGGUCAGUAGCCGGGCUGAGAGGGUGAUCGGCCACACUGGAACUGAGACACGGUCCAGACUCCUACGGGAGGCAGCAGUGGGGAAUAUUGCGCAAUGGGGGAAACCCUGACGCAGCAACGCCGCGUGGAGGAUGAAGGCCUUCGGGUCGUAAACUCCUGUCAGGUGGGAAGAAUAGGUUGCAGCAAACAACUGCAACCCUUGACGGUACCACCAGAGGAAGCCCCGGCUAACUCCGUGCCAGCCGCCGCGGUAAGAC
rnacentral:rRNA from 1 species